UACGUAGGCAGCGAGCGUUGUUCGGAGUUACUGGGCGUAAAGCGUGCGUAGGCGGUGUCUUAAGUUUGUUGUGAAAUCUCCCGGCUUAACCGGGAGGGUGCGGCGAAUACUGAGAUGCUGGAGUGCGGGAGAGGUAAGCGGAAUUCCUGGUGUAACGGUGAAAUGCGUAGAUAUCAGGAGGAACACCUGCGGUGUAGACGGCUUACUGGACCGUAACUGACGCUGAGGCACGAAAGCGUGGGUAGCAAACAGG
rnacentral:rRNA from 1 species